CAAAUGGACGACUAGGGUUCCGGUUCGCUCGGCGAACGGCUGGUCCGAGAGUCGUCGACCUCCGAGCGGGGUUACACGGCGGGAUAAAAGCCCGGGAGAA
rnacentral:sRNA from 2 species